GAUGAAGAACGCAGCGAAAUGCGAUAAGUAAUGCGAAUUGCAGAAUUCAGUGAGUCAUCGAAUCUUUGAACGCACAUUGCGCCCUGUGGUAUUCCGCAGGGCAAGCCUGUUCGAGCGUCAUUUCAACCCUCAAGCUCUGCUUGGUGUUGGGCCCUGCCCGCUGCGGCCGGCCCUAAAGACAGUGGCGGUGCCGCCUGGCCCUGAGCGUAGUACAUCUCUCGCUCCAGUGCCCGGUGGUAGCCUGCCAGAACCCCAACUCUCGUGGUUGACCUCGGAUCAGGUAGGGAUACCCGCUGAACUUAAGCAUAUCAAUAAGCGGAGGA
rnacentral:misc_RNA from 1 species